GUUUCCGUAGUAUAGUGGUUAGUACGGAGCUUUGUGGUUUGCACCCAAAGACCCUUCCAAAGUCAAUCAAUUCAGCUCAGACGCGUGUUCGAUUCACGCCGGGAACA